GAGUGCCCCAAGCGUUAUCCGGAAUCACUGGGCGUAAAGGGUAUGUAGGUGGUUUUGUUAGUCCUUCGUUAAAGCUCCCGGCUUAACCGGGAAAAUGCGCGGGAAACGGCAAGACUAGAGGGUGUGAGAGGUUUGCAGAACUCAUGGUGUAGGGGUGAAAUCCGUUGAUAUCAUGGGGAAUACCAAAUGCGAAGGCAGCAAACUGGCACAUUCCUGACACUGAGAUACGAAAGCGUGGGUAGCGAAUGGGAUUAGAUACCCCAGCAGUCCACGCCCUAAACGAUCUUCACUGGCUUUUCGGAGUAUCGACCCUCUGGGAGGCGAAGCUAACGCAUUAAGUGAAGCGCCUGGGUAGUACGAUCGCAAGAUUA
rnacentral:rRNA from 1 species